GACGAACGCUGGCGGCGUGCUUAACACAUGCAAGUCGAACGGAAAGGCCUCUUUCGGGGGGUACUCGAGUGGCGAACGGGUGAGUAACACGUGAGUAACCUGCCCUUGACUUUGGGAUAACUUCAGGAAACUGGGGCUAAUACCGGAUAGGAGCUCCUGCUGCAUGGUGGGGGUUGGAAAGUUUCGGCGGUUGGGGAUGGACUCGCGGCUUAUCAGCUUGUUGGUGGGGUAGUGGCUUACCAAGGCUUUGACGGGUAGCCGGCCUGAGAGGGUGACCGGCCGCAUUGGGACUGAGAUACGGCCCAGACUCCUACGGGAGGCAGCAGGGGGGAAGAUUGCACAAUGGGUGGAAGCCGGAUGCAGCAAGGCCGUGUGCGGGAUGACGGCCUUGGGGUUGUAAACCGCGUUCGCUCAUGACGAAGCUUUGUGUGACGGUAGUGGGUAAAGAAGCACCGGCUAACUACGUG
rnacentral:rRNA from 1 species